GUCCACGCGGUAAACGAUGGGCACUAGGUGUAGGGGGUAUCCACUACUCCUGUGCCGCAGCUAACGCAUUAAGUGCCCCGCCUGGGGAGUACGGCCGCAAGGUUAAAACUCAAAGGAAUUGACGGGGGCCCGCACAAGCGGUGGAGCAUGUGGUUUAAUUCGACGCAACGCGAAGAACCUUACCUGGGCUUGACAUCCCCGGAACCCCCUGGAAACAGGGGGGUGUCCCCGAAAGGGGAAGCCGGGAGACAGGUGCUGCAUGGCUGUCGU
rnacentral:rRNA from 1 species